rnacentral:lncRNA from 1 species
AUGACACAGAUUAAUAAAACCACCUCUUAUGCUUGAGCUAAGCCAGUUAACAAAUUAAAUAUAUAAGAUAUUAGUAAAAAGCACUUAGUUAAACAUAUUUAAUUAUACAUUCUAACAUGAUCUGAUUCAUUUUCUUAUUAAACAAAGAAGGCAGAAAACAUUGAAUUAUAAUACAAUAAAUCACUGUUCUGAAGUCACAGUUAUUACGUCAUGGCGUCAAACGGCAUAGUUCCCGUCUGUACUAAUACCGUGGUCUUGUUGAAAAAACCAUGGAAAGUAAUAAAAUUUCCAUGGAAUGUCAAGGUUUUCAUGUAAGAUUUACAUGGAUUUUUGCCGUGGUUGCUAUUUUCCGUGCAUUUUCUUACUAUUCUCGGAAAAAAUCCUUGGCAAUGCCAUCAAAACUCCACGGAAAACUGAAAAAGCUUGGGAAAAAACCUUGGAAUCUGACACUUAGAAAAUUUCAGAUGAAGAAAUUCUAACACUUAGAAAAAAUUAAGCAUGGAAACUCACACUUAGGAAAAUUGUAGCAUAAAGAAUUUCGACUUAGUCAAAAUUUGGCACGGAAAAAGGGCACGGAAUGUUUCCGUGCAAAAUUUAGACUAAGUCCACACUGAUAGCUAGAAUUUUAGCUAUAUAUUUUAGACAUAUUUGAACCAUGGAGUGCAAUAUUUAUGCAGCUAUUCAUUCAAAAGAAUAUUCAUUCAAAUACUGUAAAAUCAGAUACCCUUUCAAGAUUGAAAUUUUGUGAAUAUGAAAAUCCUGUUCUAUAUAUUCUCAUUUAUAAUGCAUUAUUUGCACAUGCAUAUAUUCAUACAUAAUUAUUAUUUAAGCCAGCCCUCAAUUUUCACAAUUAUGGAAAUUGUGAAUACAGUCAAAACCUGUGUUAAAAGACCACCUGCAAACAAAGACCACUUUUACAAAACCUGUCUGAAAACACCAUCAUUUUUUUCUCCAGUCAGACCAUUAUCAAUGAAUUAUUUAACCAGUUUAGAGAGACAAUCUGUAAACAAAGACCACUUAAAAUAAUAUUAAAUUGCAGCAAAGAAUUUAUUCAUUUUGAAAAUCUCAAGAUUUGUUUGGAUUAUACUUAGGUAUUCAAAUUAACUGAAAUGAAACAAGGAAUCUAACUAAUUAAAAUUUAUGUCAAUGUUUACAUUUUGUGUAUUAAAAGGAUGUAAAUUAGAAUUCUAUCAUUUUAUUUAUAAUCAAUGUAACAAGAUAUAUCAUUGAAAAUUAUUAAGGUCCUAUUUAUAUUGAAGCUAUUUAUUUUUUGGUUAUUGAACACCUCAAACAACAGCACCUGAUUAUAGGCACUAAAAGACAUGUCAUAAGUACAAUAAAUUGUAAAUGACAUUAUGCUUUUAAUAUAAUGUUACAUCAUCAUAACUGAAUAUUUAGUCUAUUCUUUUGAUGACUGGCAGUGAUUAAUUAUCUUGCUUUUACAGCCAAUUAAUAUACUGCUGUUCAAUGUAUACAGAUGUGUUAACACACAGAGAUACAGCUUAUCUGAUCAAGAUAAGGACCAAUGAAAAUACAGGCUUCUGAAGCCAUUUUACACCUGUACCCCAAAAAAUAAUCCCAAUAUUUCUGCUUGUUUUUUUUUUUUUUGGUUUUUUUAAUGUGAUCUUUGCAAAUGCUGUGAGCAAAUAAAUGGUCAAAUUUCCCCAUGAACUGUAUACUUAUAUUUUUUAAGAACAUUCUAUAUAUUUCCUUCAGUAACUAUAUUGUACCAAAGAAAAUGGCUCAUGAAUACAAAAAUUUGAAUGUAAACAGGAAGUUCUUUGUUCAUGUUGUUGGAGGCAAACGGAAUAGAGCUAACUUGAAACUCUAAAAUGCUUUUAGAGAGAUAUCAGAUGAAAGAGUGUGCAUAUCUAGUUAUUUGAAGUAUGCCUAUGUAUGAAUUGAUGUAGUCAGAAAAAUCAGAUGGCUUCAGUGACUAUGCUACAGGAUGAUAUGAGAUCACAGACAGAAAUUUCAUCAAGGAUCAAGCAUAAAUUACAGAAUAUUUCAACUAUAAUUUGUAAGUUAAAAUUUGCAAACUGUCUUAUACUAUACAAUUACUAUAAAAGGUUGAUAAAUUAUUUAUUUUGUUGGUAUUAACAUCACACUAACAGGUUGAUCAUUACACCAACAUUUUAUGACAUUAUUUUUUUGUCAGUUCUAAAUUCUAAAAUUUCUUUUUAAGCUUGUCUGAUUAAAAAAUAAACUUGCAUUAUUGUAUGGUCAAGCACUUACACAAAUGAGGGAUAGUACCCACAGGCAGUGCUCUCAAUAUUUUCUUUUCAGUGUCCAAUAAAUAAAUAAAUAAAUAAAUGGUUUUGAUACAUGUAGAAUGUUUAAAUGGUAAUUUAACUACAAAUUAAAACUGGCUUUAGAGUUGUCAUUUCACAUACUACUAUACUAGGUUACAAAUACUGUAUUACCUAAAAUUAUAUUUUAAUCGCAAUUACUAAUAAAAUUUGUUUCUAUAAUUAAUUAAAAUUAUGUUAUAUCAUUUUCAGAAAUGGCUGGAAUGAAGUUCCUGACACUGGUGAUGGUUUUGGAAAAGCAAAGAGACAUUCUGAUGCCACCUUGUAUUGAGCCUACAAUACUCCAAAAAUUUUCUAUCAACUUAUUUUGAUAUUUAAUAUAUCUUUUAGUUUAAUUUUCAAGUUUAAGCUAAGCAAAUUUUUAUUUUUCUUAACCACAGAUGUAAAAGCUGCUGGCAAAUGUGUUAUUCCCCUUUGAAUUUUAUACUUUUUGUGUUUUUGAAACUCAGACCUGUCUCAAUAUUUUAUUAAAAUAUUUUUGUAAUAAUA